GGAGUCCUACGGGGCGCAGCAGUGAGGAAUAUUGGUCAAUGGUCGGGAGACUGAACCAGCCAAGCCGCGUGAGGGAUGAAGGUACAGAGUAUCGUAAACCUCUUUUGUCAGGGAACAAAGGCGGGGACGCGUCCCCGGAUGAGUGUACCUGACCAAGAAGCCCCGGCUAACUACGUGCCAGCAGCCGCGGUAAUACGUAGGGGGCAAGCGUUAUCCGGAAUUACUGGGUGUAAAGGGAGCGUAGACGGUUAAGUAAGUCUGGAGUGAAAGGCCGGGGCCCAACCCCGGGACUGCUCUGGAAACUA
rnacentral:rRNA from 1 species